UACGUAGGUGGCGAGCGUUGUCCGGAAUAACUGGGCGUAAAGGGUGCGUAGGUGGUCAAUUAAGUUAAAUGUGAAAGCCCGAGGCUCAACUUCGGAAUUGCAUUUAAUACUGGUUGACUAGAGUACUGGAGGGGUAAACGGAAUUUCUAGUGUAGCGGUGGAAUGCGUAGAUAUUAGGAAGAACACCGGAGGCGAAGGCGGUUUACUGGACAGCAACUGACACUGAGGCACGAAAGCGUGGGGAGCAAAC
rnacentral:rRNA from 1 species